ensembl:antisense Prdm16os Prdm16 opposite strand transcript
CUCUGAGUUCUGCCACCGCCCGGGACGCCGAGCGGCGCUGGAGCCGUCGGUCCUCGGUCGGGCGCGGCGGCUGAGGCUAGCGCGCCCCGCGUCGGGGGGUGGCCGUGCCAAGGCCGGCAUCUUGCCCUGGGCGUCCCGGGGCGUCCUGCACCUCUGCACCUCCGGGGUGGGCCCGUGCGCUCCGGUCUCCGCGCCCCGUUGGGCUGCGGCCACGGCCCCCAGGUAAUGCCUUGAAGCCUUGGAGCCCAGGAGUGCGCUGAGCCCAUUGAAGCCGCGUGGCACCCGCUUGCGGUUCCCAGGCGCUGCCAGCCUAGGAUGCUCCCGCUUUUAGCGAGGGCAAGCGGAGAGGACCCUGGCAGCAACGAAAGUACCGAGCUGUGAGUCUUUCUAGCCUAGAGGCCGAGGCUCCUCCGGAGCCACAGUGCGGGAGCCUGCCUUCCAUGCGCAGUGACGUCCGGAGCUGUGUGGAGCAAGGCAACCUAGUCUUCUCAAUUCAUGUUGAAUCCGAAACUACAUUUCGUUUUACAGAGUCACCUACUACUUAGUGAUUCAGGGGCAGACUCGCCCGUACAGCAGACACUCAGUUUGGAAGCCAAAUUUUGCGUUUGGAAUGGUGUGGCGCUGCACCCCACAGCUGCAACUGCUGGGUGGGAGCCGCUAGGUAAUUCUUCUCCUCCGGUUACCCUUCUGUGACUUGGGGCCAUUCAUCGUUCUCUUCAGAGAUCGGUGUGAUUGGCAGGCAAGAACGGUUAGUUCCAGGGCCAGGCUUCGGGCUAGCAGGCACAGCCCACCCAUCGUUUAAGCCCAAAAGAAAUGGUGCUCCGGAGAGGAAUUUUCCCAUGUGCCUGUGGGGUGAUGCGCAAUCCCUGUGCUCUCCCGGCUCGCUCCCUCCCUCCCGCCUUCCUCAUUCCGCGUUGGGUAGAGGAGCUGAGAGUGUCUCCUCUUGGCCUGGGAGAAGAUUUGUUCUGUUAACCUGUCCUUGUCCAAAAUGGAGUUGCCAGAAAGCAUAAAAAUUAACAAGGCCUCUCCAUCCAGCUCUCCAAAGCCUAAAGAAGGUGAGUGGGGGUUGUGCGGGCUGCCGGAAGGGCAACAGCCUACAGAAGCUCUAGCUGGAACAGCUUAUUCAGGGAACACUGGUCCUCCGCACAGACAUCCACUUCACCCCAGCUCCCAUUGACUGCCUUGGCCUGGCAUGUGUGAUGGGUACAGAGAUGGACCCAAUCCAGACUUAGGCUUCUAGAGGACUUCUCCCUCUGCAAGAAGAUGGGAGUUCUGGUCAGCAAGAGAAGAGGACACCCUCUAUAAAACUACCCCAUAUUUCCCUCAGCACCAAGACCUCUGAUCCAGACACUGAGAGAGGGCCUUGAUGACCAGGGAGAUGCCCAAAUGGACUCUGCCUCCCCCUUCUGCUUUAUACUAAACCAAUAACAGCCAGACACCACCAUGGAGACAUGCUUGGUGAGCCGGCAAGAAAAGAGCAGAGACCAGUAUGGCCCGAGGCUGGGAAAAAUGACCAGUUUUGCAGAGUCACUAAAGGUGAUAGAGUCAGUGGGCCAUGUCCUUCAGGGACAUGUUCCCAAGUCCCUGAAAAGUGGAAAAGCCUAGGACAGAGGCAGUGGUGAAUCCUAAGGGCUUCUGUGACCUUAGCUCACUGGCAUCCUGCCCUCGUCCCCUGACAGCUAGAACCUGGCUUUGUGCCUGGUACUGGGGAUCCUUAAGAAAGGGAGGUAACCCAGCUACAGAGGACACACCUGCAUUCAGCAGUCUCUCUCCUCAAUGAGGAUUUACUGUGUGCAGAGCCCAGGGACCAGGGUAAAAAAUGACCGGGUCUCUGCUUGAGCAUCUUCUCAGCCAUGGCUUUCAUAAUUAUGACAUAUAUGUCAGGCAUCAGCAGAGGGGCUGGUACCUACUGAGGAGGGGUGUGUUGGGUCCUGUCCUCUGAUGAAGAAACUAUCCCUAAGCCAGCAUAAAGCCAUUUUUAUUAGAGUGGCUUGAUUACUUACAAGAGACCCCUGCCUGAGAUCAGGCUUGUGGAAGGUGAGAGUGGGGGUGGGGUGGAAUGGGGGAGGCUCAUUGCACCUGCAUCGGAGAUUCUGGUCACUCCCACCUUUUGUAUGUAAUUCUGCCCUAAUUACAGGUAGUCUCAGGGGGCUGAAAUCUAAAGUCUGGGCGAUGGACUGAAGGGGGUGACAGUUCUGUCUAUGUGGCUCUGAAGAUGUCAUCCGUGCUGGAGUGGGACUUGGGGGGCCAUACUUUGGGGUCACACUCUCACAAGUAACCCCCACCCAUGCUUCCUUGAUUUCCCAAGUUGAACUUCUGUGGGAUUCCAUUCAGUUUGGACCCCUGUAAGAAGGGAGUACUACAUGCUUAUAUCUCCCCAGGAAAGAAGUCUUUUAAACACCCUCCUUGCAUGCCUGUCUUAACCGGGCAGAGCUGUGUCUAAGGGAUGGGUUGUCCUGGGUGUGGACUUGUGUGUAUGUGGGGGGAGGGGGAGCCAUAAUCUAAUCAGACCACACUUCUUUGGGACCUUCUGUCAGCUCCUCAGCUCUCCAGAGCCUUGUUCCCUGGUAACAUGGGGUGAGUGGGUGGGUGCCCCUGGCAGUAACUUAGCAACAGCUUUUAGGUGAAGGUCGCACUUGCCAGGAGCUCUUUACAGUUCUGGGGAUCAAGGACAGCAGAGGCAAGGAUUUCCCUCCUGCUACUUCUCAAUUCCUCUCAGGGAACCUAGGCUUUGUCCUCUGAGCUUCUGAGCUGAAGCCCUGGAAAGCACCUGGCUGAACAGAGAGCUGGCAGUUGGAACCCUGUGUUGGGGUUCAUGGUCCUGGCAGCAGUGGGACGUCAGACCCUUCACAGUGUGGGUGUCACAGCCCCUGGGCUGCAGACUUGCCUGUAACUGGAUAGACUCAGUUUUCUGAGUUCAGUAUUCAUGGGCAUCCAGGAACCCCUUUCCCUACAUCCCAUCUCAGGGCUGAACUGUGGCUGCCUGGGGUUGAGGGAAGCCCCCAUGCCUGAGCCAAUGGCAUUGGGGGUCUCAUCAUGGGAAUAACACACUGAGGUCACAUUCUGACACACUAGCAUAUAUUCUGUAUUUGAACUUCUAGUGAGGCAUUUUUUAAAUUAUAAAGUGUGUCACUAGAAAAAAAGAAAAGUGUCCGUUAAGUUUUCACAAAGCCCCAGAGUACAUGGGACCCGGUGGUUCUGGUGAACACGAGUAAGCCAGUUUUCACAUUAGAGAAAUAACAGUUCUUGAAGAAAUGUAGCACUUUUAAAAAGAGGUUAAUUAAUAAACAGCAGGUAAUUGUUCAUGGCACGAUGUGGCAGAGGGUAAUUUUCAUUUUUGAGGAUGGAAGGGCCAGAUACCCCUCCCCACUCAGCAUUUCUCUGUAAUAAUCACCUUGGCUUCCCUUCCGUCCUUAAUUUUUACAGCUGGAGCUGUUUAUCAUCGCUCCAACUUUCACUAAAAAAAAAGGAAAAACUAUCACUUAAACAAAGCUAUUGAAAACUCAGCAUCAUAUGUGGGUUUCUUAACAUAAAUAAAUCAUACAAACCAAGAUUUA